rnacentral:tRNA from 1 species
GGAGAUGUGUCCGAGCUGGCUGAAGGAGCACGAUUGGAAAUCGUGUGAACGUGUGAGCGUUCCUAGGGUUCGAAUCCCUACAUCUCCGCCA